rnacentral:lncRNA from 1 species
CAUGAGGGUAGUGUUAUUAUAAGAAUCAGGACUACCAUAACACUUGUCGGAUUGAUUUGAAAUUUUGUAUGCUGGUUCGAUAUAGAAUAAACUUAAUGCAUGCUAAUUUUUUUGGCAUUUAAUUGAAGAUUAAGGGUCUAAUAGGCUCAAGACCACAAUUAAUGACCCUACUUUUCGUUGUUCACGAAUAUAGUUCCCUUUAAUUAAGGUGUAUUCUUUCUUUGUUUUUUUUCUUUGCCUUUCUCAUUGAUUAUUUAGUUUUUAUGGGUUGGAAAUGAAAGAAGAUAGGUGAAAUAAACUUUUGGAUGUUGUAUUUUAACUUAUUUUGAU